GACGAACGCUGGCGGCGUGCUUAACACAUGCAAGUCGAACGGUGACCCUCGGAGCUUGCUUCGGGGUGAACAGUGGCGAACGGGUGAGUAACACGUGAGUAACCUGCCCCUGACUCUGGAAUAAGCGCUGGAAACGGCGUCUAAUACCGGAUACGACACGCCUCCGCAUGGGGAGCGUGUGGAAAGUUUUUCGGUCUGGGAUGGACUCGCGGCCUAUCAGCUUGUUGGUGAGGUAAUGGCUCACCAAGGCGAUGACGGGUAGCCGGCCUGAGAGGGCGACCGGCCACACUGGGACUGAGACACGGCCCAGACUCCUACGGGAGGCAGCAGUGGGGAAUAUUGCACAAUGGGCGAAAGCCUGAUGCAGCGACGCCGCGUGAGGGAUGACGGCCUUCGGGUUGUAAACCUCUUUCAGCAGGGAAGAAGCGAAAGUGACGGUACCUGCAGAAGAAGCACCGGCUAACUACGUGCCAGCCGCCGCGGUAA
rnacentral:rRNA from 1 species